rnacentral:rRNA from 1 species
UACGGAGGAUGCGAGCGUUAUCCGGAUUUAUUGGGUUUAAAGGGUGCGUAGGCGGUCCGGAAAGUCAGCGGUAAAAGCCCGGGGCUCAACCCCGACAAGCCGUUGAAACUGGCUUGCUAGAGUGGGCGAGAAGUAUGCGGAAUGCGUGGUGUAGCGGUGAAAUGCAUAGAUAUCACGCAGAACCCCGAUUGCGAAGGCAGCAUACCGGUGCACAACUGACGCUCAGGCACGAAAGCGUGGGUAUCGAACAGG